GACGAAGGAUCCAAGCGUUAUCCGGAUUCAUUGGGUUUAAAGGGUGCGUAGGCGGCCCGGUAAGUCAGUGGUGAAAGCCUGUUGCUUAACAACAGAACUGCCAUUGAUACUGCCAGGCUUGAGUACAGAUGCUGUGGGCGGAAUAUGACAUGUAGUGGUGAAAUACAUAGAGAUGUCAUAGAACACCGAUUGCGAAGGCAGCUCACAAAAACUGUAACUGACGCUGAGGCACGAAAGUGCGGGGAUCAAACAGG
rnacentral:rRNA from 1 species